UACGUAGGGUGCAAGCGUUGUCCGGAAUCAUUGGGCGUAAAGCGCGCGUAGGCGGCCCGAUCAGUCCGCUGUAAAAGUCCAGGGCUCAACCCUGGAAAGCCGGUGGAUACUGUCGGGCUAGAGUCCGGAAGAGGCGAGUGGAAUUCCUGGUGUAGCGGUGGAAUGCGCAGAUAUCAGGAGGAACACCGAUAGCGAAGGCAGCUCGCUGGGACGGUACUGACGCUGAGGUGCGAAAGCGUGGGGAGCGAACAGG
rnacentral:rRNA from 1 species